CGCGUAGGCGGUUUGUCGGUCAGAUGUGAAAGCCCAGGGCUCAACCCUGGACGUGCAUUUGAAACAGCAAGACUUGAGUACGGGAGAGGAAAGCGGAAUUCCUGGUGUAGAGGUGAAAUUCGUAGAUAUCAGGAGGAACACCGAUGGCGAAGGCAGCUUUCUGGACCGAUACUGACGCUGAGGCGCGAAGGCGUGGGUAGCGAACA
rnacentral:rRNA from 1 species